CAGGGCCCCAGCGCCGCCACCAGAGCUCCUGCGCGCGCCGCCGCUCCACCGCCGCCGGCCCCUGCGCCGCCGUCCGUGCUCCACUGAGCCGCGCCGCCAGCACUCCUCUGCGCGCGCCGCCGACACCCCUCUGCCCGCGCGCCGCCGCUCCUCCUCCGUCCCAUCUCUCGCCAGCACGGACGCGACGGUCCCCAACAGCGGCCACAUCCGCUGCUGCUUCUGCUACAAGGGCCGCGGCUUCGACUGCUCCACCGCUCGCGCCCUCGACGGCCAUGGACCACCUCCACACCGUCGCCCUGCAGACCGUCGGCGCCGGCACGCCCGACGCGGCCGCCCACGCCAGAGCAGCCAUCAGUCUGGCCCCUGCUGGCGCUGCCGCGGGUCUAGUCCCUGCUGGCGCUGCCGCAGGUCUACCCACUGCUGGCGCAGCAACCA
rnacentral:misc_RNA from 1 species